rnacentral:rRNA from 1 species
GACGAACGCUGGCGGCGUGCUUAACACAUGCAAGUCGAACGGGAUUAAGUAAACAGAAGCCUCGGUGGAAGAUUACUAAUGAGAGUGGCGAACGGGUGAGUAACGCGUGAGCAACCUGCCUAUGACAGUGGGAUAGCCUCGGGAAACCGGGAUUAAUACCGCAUAAAAUCGUAGAAACACAUGUUUUAACGGUCAAAGAUUUAUCGGUCAUAGAUGGGCUCGCGUCUGAUUAGCUAGUUGGUGAGAUAACAGCCCACCAAGGCGACGAUCAGUAGCCGGUCUGAGAGGAUGAACGGCCACAUUGGAACUGAGACACGGUCCAAACUCCUACGGGAGGCAGCAGUGGGGAAUAUUGCACAAUGGGGGAAACCCUGAUGCAGCGACGCCGCGUGAACGAAGAAGGUAUUCGUAUCGUAAAGUUCUGUCCUAUGGGAAGAUAAUGACAGUACCAUAGAAGAAAGCUCCGGCUAAAUACGUG